rnacentral:rRNA from 1 species
UGGGGAAUUUUGGACAAUGGGCGCAAGCCUGAUCCAGCCAUGCCGCGUGCGGGAAGAAGGCCUUCGGGUUGUAAACCGCUUUUGUCAGGGAAGAAAUCUUCUGAGUUAAUACCUCGGGGAGGAUGACGGUACCUGAAGAAUAAGCACCGGCUAACUACGUGCCAGCAGCCGCGGUAAUACGUAGGGUGCAAGCGUUAAUCGGAAUUACUGGGCGUAAAGCGUGCGCAGGCGGUUUUGUAAGACAGAGGUGAAAUCCCCGGGCUCAACCUGGGAACUGCCUUUGUGACUGCAAGGCUUGAGUGCGGCAGAGGGGGGAUGGAAUUCCGCGUGUAGCAGUGAAAAUGCGUAGAUAUGCGGAGGAAACACCGAUGGCGAAGGCAAUCCCCUGGGCCUGCACUGACGCUCAUGCACGAAAAGCGUGGGGAGCAAAACAGGAUUAGAUACCCCUGGUAGUCCACGCCCUAAAACGAUGUCAACU